rnacentral:misc_RNA from 1 species
GAUGAAGAACGCAGCGAAAUGCGAUACUUGGUGUGAAUUGCAGAAUCCCGUGAACCAACGAGUCUUUGAACGCAAGUUGCGCCCGAAGCCAUUAGGCCGAGGGCACGCCUGCCUGGGCGUCACACGUCGUUGCCCCCCCAUCUACUCCUUCGGGAUUGCGGGGGGCGGAUGAUGGCCUCCCGUGCGCCUCGUCGCGCGGUUGGCAUAAAUGCCAAGUCCUCGGCGACGCACGCCACGACAAUCGGUGGUUGCGAAACCUCGGUUGCCCGUCGUGUGCGGUCGUCGCGCAUCGAGGGCUCGAAAAAAUUGCCGGGCUCCGGCUCGGCUUUCAACGCGACCCCAGGUCAGGCGGGGUUACCCGCUGAAUUUAAGCAUAUCAAUAAGCGGAGGA